AGUUCACUAAAUCGGUUGAUAGGUGUGAAUUUGACGAUCUCAAAAUCAAAAAAUAUAUAUUUUUUUUUGUUUUUGGGGGGGCUAAGGAAACUUUUGGGGGGUCUCCAGCCCCCCCAAAAUAGGGCUAGAUACGCCACUGGUAGGGAGUGAAACAGGUGUGUGUGAUUGUGUGAUUGGGAGACGUGAAUGCAGUGCAGCUGGGACGGUGAAUGAGACUGAUGACAUGCAGCCCUGAAUUGCUGAGGGGGGCGUGGCCGGAGCGGAGCUCAGCAGAGACGUGACACUCCGACACCUGUCUCAGAAUGGUAUAAAAAGCAGACCAAACGCUGUGAUCAUCACUGCAUUAGUUUACUUUACCUGAACAGGUGUGCCUGAUACUCAUCUACAACAGGAAGAAGAAUUUACACAAAUCAACAUGAAGGUUCUCAUACUGGCCGCUCUUCUCUGUAUGCACUCUGCUGUGACCCAUGCUGCGACCCAUGCUGCGACCCAGUCUGCACCUGCAGAUGUCGUGAAGACUCUGUUCACAGUUUGACAUCUCUGUUCUAAAUGUCUAUGUUGUUCAGCAUCUCAAAGAAAGAACUCAUGUAAUACUCUAGCCAUGGGGAAAUGUUUCUAAUGAUUGACUGAUAGUUCUGUUUCUUCUUUCUCAGUCUCUAACUCGACAGCCUCCUCUAUAGUGGAGGGCCUUCUGCACACCUGUUUUGGAGAAUAAUAUUUAUUUAAUAUAAAAAAAAAAAAUUCUUUCAAUACUUUUACUUAAAUGAAAAGGUAAGAUUUUUGUGAAUAUUUUGAGUAAAAGACCAAGAGGAUAAACAGCAAAGACAUAUUUUUUUCAUAGCCUGUUUUGGUCACAUUCACUAAGGGUGCCAAUAAUUGUGGAGGGCACUGUACUGUAUAUCCAAUUUCAUUUCAAGUAUGCCCCAUUUGUAAUUUAUUCACUAAAAUUUGUUUCACCCAGCUUAAAUUUGCGUUGGGGUACUUAUG
rnacentral:lncRNA from 1 species